GGAGGUAGUGACAAUAAAUCACAAUGCGGAACUAUUAGUUUUGCAAUUGGAUUGAGAACAACGUACAAACCUUAUCGAUAAACAAUUGGAGGGCAAGUCUGGUGCCAGCAGCCGCGGUAAUUCCAGCUCCAAUAGCGUAUAUUAACGUUGUUGCAGUUAAAAAGCUCGUAGUUGAAGUGAAGUGAACAAAGAAGAGAAGAAUCUUCGGAUUCGGAUCUAAUGCGUUGACUCUUUCCAAAGUCAAUGUAUGGGUAUUCAUUUAUCUAUAUAUUGUGUUUGGUCGUUUACUGUGAGAAAAUUAGAGUGUUCAAAGCAGACGUUUGUUUGAAUACAUUAGCAUGGAAUAAUCAUAUAGGGCUUUCAUGUGUAUUUGAUUGGUUUGGAUAUGAAAGCAAGGUUAAUAGGGACAGUUGGGGGUAUUCAUAUUCAAUAGUCAGAGGUGAAAUUCUCGGAUUUAUGGAAGAUGAACAAGUGCGAAAGCAA
rnacentral:rRNA from 1 species